UCCGGAUGGCUCAGUGGUCGGAGCAACUGCCUAGUAAGCAGUAGAUCUGGGUUCGAAUCCCAGUCCGGCAGAA
rnacentral:tRNA from 1 species